UACGUAGGGUGCGAGCGUUAAUCGGAAUUACUGGGCGUAAAGGGUGCGCAGGCGGUUUUGUAAGCCAGAUGUGAAAUCCCCGGGCUCAACCUGGGAAUGGCAUUUGGGACUGCAAGGCUAGAGUGUGGCAGAGGAGACUGGAAUUCCCGGUGUAGCAGUGAAAUGCGCAGAUAUCAGGAGGAACACCGGUGGCGAAGGCGGGUCUCUGGGCCGAUACUGACGCUGAGGCGCGAAAGCCAGGGGAGCAAACGGG
rnacentral:rRNA from 1 species